AUGGAGAGGCAGAUGAUACUUAUAAUGCUCGUCACGGUUUCAGGUGGAUUUGCUGAUAAAAUUGGACCAAGUGAAGGAGAUACUAAUAUAAUCAGAGAAGAAGGAAAGUCUGUGACACUGAGCUGCACAUUUGAAACUAACAGCAAUGAUAUUUGGCUUUACUGGUACAGACAAUAUCCCAACAGAGAACCAAAAUAUAUACUGUAUAAAGGAGCUAGAUCAAGGAGCAGUCAGAAAAAUAUACCAGAUGGGUUUCAAUCAACUACAUCCCAGUCAUCCACUGAACUCACUAUUAACAGUGUAACUCUGUCAGAUUCAGCUCUCUAUUACUGUGCUCUAAGAGUUGGAGCCCAGUGAUACAAAAUGCAUGAGAAGCUUUACAAAAACUCACAUGAAAUUAAUGCUUUGAAGAGUAUUUAAUAAUAUCAGUAUCAAAACACAUCAUGUUUUUAUAAACCACAAACAGGGAAUGUGGUAACAGCUGUGAAUUUGCUAAAAAAAAAAAAAAAAAAAAAAAAAGUUUGAAUAAGAGCAUGUGAAUACAAUAUAGCAUGCAUAUCAUGGUUUCACAUUAUCAAUUUUAUAUAUAUAUAUAUAUAUAUAUAUUUCUUUUUUUUCUGAUUUUAUGUUUCAUAAAUUCCUAAGGAUCUAAUUAAAACUGAUCUGAAAUCAGUUAAAUCCUUGUAAAACAACCACAAAUCAGCACACACACACACACACACACGCACACACACACAUGUUUGUUUUUGUGAAAAGUGGGGACAUCCCAUAGGUGUUAUGGUUUUUAUACUGUACAAACUGUAUAUUCUAUGGCCCUACACCAACCCUACCCCUAACCCUAACCCUCACAGGAAACUUUGUGCAUUUUUACUUUCUCAAAAAAAACUCAUUCUUUAUGAUUUAUAAGCGUUUUGAAAAAUGGGGACAUGGGUUACGCCUCAUAAGUCACCCUCUCCUUGUAAUACCUGUGUCAUACCCAUAUCAUUAUACAAAGUUGUGUCCUGAUAUGUCACAAAAACAAGAGCACUAACACACACACACACACACACACACUUAUUUAUAUUCAUGAUUAUGAAUUUUGUUCUUUAGGUGUCACUUUUAUGAAUCUAAUCCCUAGUCUGAUCAAUAAAAAGGAGCAAAUAAAUAAAAGUUAUACAAUAAAAACAUUACAAAAAAAAAAGAAC
rnacentral:lncRNA from 1 species